rnacentral:rRNA from 1 species
UAGUCCACGCCGUAAACUAUGGACACUUGGUGUUGGAGGUAUUGACCCCUUCAGUGCCGGAGCUAACGCGUUAAGUGUCCCGCCUGGGGAGUACGGUCGCAAGAUUAAAACUCAAAGAAAUUGACGGGGGCCCGCACAAGCGGUGGAGCAUGUGGUUUAAUUCGAUGAUACGCGAGGAACCUUACCUAGGCUCGAACGCUGUUUGCCGUUACUUGAAAGAGUAAUUUCCUUCGGGACGGAUAGUGAGGUGCUGCAUGGUUGUCGUCAGCUCGUGCCGUGAGGUGUUGGGUUAAGUCCCGUAACGAGCGCAACCCCUAUUGUUAGUUGCCAGCAUUUAAGGUGGGACUCUAGCAAGACUGCCGGCGUAAGCCGCGAGGAAGGUGGGGACGACGGUCAAAUCAUCAUGGCCUUUAUGCCUAGGGGCUACACACGUGCUACAAUGGUCGGGUACAACGGGGCAGCGAACCUGCGAAGGGGAGCAAAUCUUGUAAANCCGAUCUUAGUCGGGAUUGGGAGUCUGCAACUCGACUCC